rnacentral:rRNA from 1 species
UACGAAGGGGGCUAGCGUUGCUCGGAAUCACUGGGCGUAAAGGGUGCGUAGGCGGGUCUUUAAGUCAGGGGUGAAAUCCUGGAGCUCAACUCCAGAACUGCCUUUGAUACUGAAGAUCUUGAGUUCGGGAGGGGUGAGUGGAACUGCGAGUGUAGAGGUGAAAUUCGUAGAUAUUCGCAAGAACACCAGUGGCGAAGGCGGCUCACUGGCCCGAUACUGACGCUGAGGUGCGAAAGCGUGGGGAGCAAACAGG